ACUCACUCCCUCACUCACUCACUCUCUCACUCACUCCAGCACUCACUCACUCACUCCAGCACUCACUUACUCACUCACUCACUCACUCCCUCACUCACUCCAGCACUCACUCACUCACUCACUCACUCACUCCAGCACUCACUCACUCCAGCACUCACUCACUCACUCACUCCAGCACUCACUCACUCUCUCACUCACUCACUCACUCCAGCACUCACUCCCUCACUCACUCCAGCACUCACUCACUCCAGCACUCACUCACUCUCUCACUCCCUCCCUCACUCACUCUCUCACUCACUCCAGCACUCACUCACUCACUCACUCACUCACUCCAGCACUCACUCACUCCAGCACUCACUCACUCACUCACUCACUCACUCCAGCACUCACUCACUCUCUCACUCACUCACUCACUCCAGCACUCACUCCCUCACUCACUCCAGCACUCACUCACUCACUCACUCACUCACUCCAGCACUCACUCACUCCGGCACUCACUCACUCACUACAGCACUCACUCACUCCAGCACUCACUCACUCACUCACUCACUCACUCACUCACUCACUCACUCCAGCACUCACUCACUCUCUCACUCACUCACUCACUCCAGCACUCACUCCCUCACUCACUCCAGCACUCACUCACUCACUCCAGCACUCACUCACUCACUCACUCACUCACUCCAGCACUCACUCACUCCGGCACUCACUCACUCACUACAGCACUCACUCACUCCAGCACUCACUCACUCCAGCACUCACUCACUCACUCACUCACUCACUCCAGCACUCACUCACUCUCUCACUCACUCACUCACUCCAGCACUCACUCCCUCACUCACUCCAGCACUCACUCACUCACUCACUCACUCACUCCAGCACUCACUCACUCCAGCACUCACUCACUCACUCCAGCACUCACUCACUCCAGCACUCACUCACUCACUCACUCACUCACUCACUCACUCCAGCACUCACUCACUCACUCCAGCACUCACUCACUCCAGCACUCACUCACUCCAGCACUCACUCACCCACUCACUCACUCCAGCACUCACUCCCUCACUCACUCCAGCACUCACUCCCUCACUCACUCACUCACUAACUCCAGCACUCACUCACUCACUCACUCACUCCAGCACUCACUCACUCACUCCAGCACUCACUCCAGCACUCACUCACUCCAGCACUCACUCCAGCACUCACUCACUCCAGCACUCACUCCAGCACUCACUCACUGACUCACUCACCCACUCACUCCAGCACUCACUCCCUCACUCACUCACUCACUAACUCCAGCACUCACUCACUCACUCCAGCACUCACUCACUCACUCACUCCAGCACUCACUCACUCCAGCACUCACUCACUCACUCACUCCAGCACUCACUCACUCACUCACUCCAGCACUCACUCACUCACUCCAGCACUCACUCACUCACUCACUCCAGCACUCACUCACUCACUACAGCACUCUCUCACUCACUCCAGCACUCACUCCAGCACUCACUCACUCACUCCAGCACUCACUCACUCACUCACUCACUCACUCCAGCACUCACUCACUCCACGUUCACUCCAGCACUCACUCCACGUUCACUCCAGCACUCACUCCUGAUUACCAAAAGGAACCCAGUCAGGAGGAUAUUUGGAGAUGCACAUUAUCAAUUCAAUUCAAUUCAAUUCAAUUCAACUUUAUUUCGCCAUGUAUACAGAUACUAGGAAUUUUUUUUGGUUUUCUCCAUGCAGGCUAUAGUAUCACAAAUAGAACAACAAGACAACACAGAACAACAAUACUAACAAUACAAACUAAACAAGCUGUGGUAAGUAUUGCUAAACUAAACG
ensembl:lncRNA